AUUGAACGCUGGCGGCAUGCUUUACACAUGCAAGUCGAACGGCAGCGGACCUUCGGGUGCCGGCGAGUGGCGAACGGGUGAGUAAUAUAUCGGAACGUACCUUUCAGUGGGGGAUAACGUAGCGAAAGUUACGCUAAUACCGCAUAUUCUGUGAGCAGGAAAGCAGGGGAUCGCAAGACCUUGCGCUGAUUGAGCGGCCGAUAUCAGAUUAGCUAGUUGGUGAGGUAAAGGCUCACCAAGGCGACGAUCUGUAGCGGGUCUGAGAGGAUGAUCCGCCACACUGGAACUGAGACACGGUCCAGACUCCUACGGGAGGCAGCAGUGGGGAAUUUUGGACAAUGGGCGCAAGCCUGAUCCAGCCAUGCCGCGUGAGUGAAGAAGGCCUCGGUGUAAG
rnacentral:rRNA from 1 species